UACGUAGGGUGCAAGCGUUGUCCGGAAUUAUUGGGCGUAAAGAACUCGUAGGCGGUUUGUCGCGUCGAAUGUGAAAACCCGGGGCUCAACCCCGGGCCUGCAUUCGAUACGGGCAGACUAGAGUUCGGUAGGGGAGUCUGGAAUUCCUGGUGUAGCGGUGAAAUGCGCAGAUAUCAGGAGGAACACCGGUGGCGAAGGCGGGACUCUGGGCCGAUACUGACGCUGAGGAGCGAAAGCGUGGGGAGCAAACAGG
rnacentral:rRNA from 1 species